ACGGGGAGCAGCAGGCGCGAAACCUUUACACUGCACGACAGUGCGAUAAGGGAAUCCCAAGUGCGCAGGCAUAGAGCCUGCGCUUUUGUACACCGUAGGGAGGUGUACGAAUAAGGGCUGGGCAAGACCGGUGCCAGCCGCCGCGGUAAUACCGGCAGCCCGAGUGAUGGCCGAUCUUAUUGGGCCUAAAGCGUCCGUAGCUGGCCGCACAAGUCCAUCGGAAAAUCCACCCGCUCAACGGGUGGGCGUCCGGUGGAAACUGUGUGGCUUGGGACCGGAAGGCGCGACGGGUACGUCCGGGGUAGGAGUGAAAUCCCGUAAUCCUGGACGGACCGCCGAUGGCGAAAGCACGUCGCGAGGACGGAUCCGACAGUGAGGGACGAAAGCCAGGGUCUCGAACCGGAUUAGAUACCCGGGUAGUCCUGGCCGUAAACAAUGUCUGUUAGGUGUGGCUCCCACUACGAGUGGGUGCUGUGCCGUAGGGAAGCCGCUAAACAGACCGCCUGGGAAGUACGUCCGCAAGGAUGAAACUUAAAGGAAUUGGCGGGGGAGCA
rnacentral:rRNA from 1 species